UACGUAGGGUGCAAGCGUUGCCCGGAAUUAUUGGGCGUAAAGAGCUCGUAGGCGGUUUGUCGCGUCUGCUGUGAAAACCCGAGGCUCAACCUCGGGCCUGCAGUGGGUACGGGCAGACUAGAGUGCGGUAGGGGAGAUUGGAAUUCCUGGUGUAGCGGUGGAAAUGCGUAGAUAUCAGGAGGAACACCAGUGGCGAAGGCAGACCUCUGG
rnacentral:rRNA from 1 species